AACGAACGCUGGCGGCAGGCCUAACACAUGCAAGUCGAGCGGACCUUUCGGGGUCAGCGGCGGACGGGUGAGUAACGCGUGGGAAUAUGCCCUUCUCUACGGAAUAGUCCUGGGAAACUGGGGGUAAUACCGUAUACGCCCUUUGGGGGUAAGAUUUAUCGGGGAAGGAUUAGCCCGCGUUGGAUUAGGUAGUUGGUGGGGUAAUGGCCUACCAAGCCGACGAUCCAUAGCUGGUUUGAGAGGAUGAUCAGCCACACUGGGACUGAGACACGGCCCAGACUCCUACGGGAGGCAGCAGUGGGGAGUCUUAGACAAUGGGGGCAACCCUGAUCUAGCCAUGCCGCGUGAGUGAUGAAGGCCUUAGGGUUGUAAAGCUCUUUCAGCUGGGAAGAUAAUGACGGUACCAGCAGAAGAAGCCCCGGCUAACUCCGUG
rnacentral:rRNA from 1 species